GAUGAACGCUGGCGGCGUGCCUAAUACAUGCAAGUCGAGUGAACAGACGAGGAGCUUGCUCCUCUGACGUUAGCGGCGGACGGGUGAGUAACACGUGGAUAACCUACCUAUAAGACUGGGACAACUUCGGGAAACCGGAGCUAAUACCGGAUAAUAUAUUGAACCGCAUGGUUCAAUAGUGAAAGACGGUUUUGCUGUCACUUAUAGAUGGAUCCGCGCCGCAUUAGCUAGUUGGUAAGGUAACGGCUUACCAAGGCAACGAUGCGUAGCCGACCUGAGAGGGUGAUCGGCCACACUGGAACUGAGACACGGUCCAGACUCCUACGGGAGGCAGCAGUAGGGAAUCUUCCGCAAUGGGCGAAAGCCUGACGGAGCAACGCCGCGUGAGUGAUGAAGGUCUUCGGAUCGUAAAACUCUGUUAUUAGGGAAGAACAAAUGUGUAAGUAACUAUGCACGUCUUGACGGUACCUAAUCAGAAAGCCACGGCUAACUACGUG
rnacentral:rRNA from 1 species